rnacentral:rRNA from 1 species
UACGUAGGGUGCAAGCGUUAAUCGGAAUUAUUGGGCGUAAAGGGCGCGUAGGCGGCUUGGCAAGUGGAUGGUGAAAUCCCUCGGCUUAACCGAGGAACUGCCGUCCAAACUGCUUCGCUUGAGACCGGGAGAGGUGAGUGGAAUUCCCAGUGUAGCGGUGAAAUGCGUAGAUAUUGGGAGGAACACCAGUGGCGAAGGCGGCUCACUGGACCGGUACUGACGCUGAUGCGCGAAAGCGUGGGGAGCAAACGGG